rnacentral:rRNA from 1 species
UACGAAGGGGGCUAGCGUUGCUCGGAAUCACUGGGCGUAAAGGGUGCGUAGGCGGGUCUUUAAGUCAGGGGUGAAAUCCUGGAGCUCAACUCCAGAACUGCCUUUGAUACUGAAGAUCUUGAGUUUCGGGAGAGGUGAGUGGAACUGCGAGUGUAGAGGUGAAAUUCGUAGAUAUUCGCAAGAACACCAGUGGCGAAGGCGGCUCACUGGCCGGUACUGACGCUGAGGUGCGAAAGCGUGGGAGCA